ensembl:lncRNA
GAGAGAGAGAGACAGAGAGCCAUGUGGUUGGACCUGGUGAAGAAAAGACUGAGCAGGGAAAUGCACCCCGUGAUGGGGCCUGUGUAGGACGUCCACCUGGUUCUUUGCAACUAUAGAAAGUUUUGCAAGAUGAAGGCGUUUCCUGCUUCUUUCUCAUGACCUCUCCUUUCUCUCCUAAUUUCCAGGACAGGAGAACUUUGCGAGGAUUGUAUCCAGUCUCAUCUUAGGGAGAAUUCAAACCAGGCAAGGGUUAUAGAAGAAAACUACCUUGAUAGUCAAAGAGUCAGAAGCCUCCUUCUCUUCCUCAGGGCCAAGGGUCAACACGUUCCUGGAAUAUAGACUGUCAAGUGGUGUCCACACUUGGACCUGGAGGGAAGAAGAGGAGCCCAAAGAGAACCUUCAGGCCAGCCACAGCCUUAGCCUUUAGAGAAGGGUCGUCCUCCUCUCACAGAGUGGACCUCCAGGAAAUGCUUUGCCUUUACCUAUGCUGCACAACGCUGGGGCUCUGCAGGGAUCACAACCAACUCUCCAGUCCAGGCCACCUGUCAGGUCCAAGUUCACCACAAUCAGCUUCCAAUUUGGGUCAAGUAGAACCUGACUUAGAGGAAGAAUUUGAAAAGGAUCUCAAAGCGUGUUCAUAAAGCCAGUAAAGAAGUUUCCGGCUCCUCCUUAACCCCUCUCUGAAUCUCAACCUCAGGAUCCAGGUGGUUGGGCCCUAGGUGGGUCAGUUGUGUUAUAUAAG